rnacentral:rRNA from 1 species
UACGUAGGUCCCGAGCGUUGUCCGGAUUUAUUGGGCGUAAAGCGAGCGCAGGCGGUUAGAUAAGUCUGAAGUUAAAGGCUGUGGCUUAACCAUAGUACGCUUUGGAAACUGUUUAACUUGAGUGCAAGAGGGGAGAGUGGAAUUCCAUGUGUAGCGGUGAAAUGCGUAGAUAUAUGGAGGAACACCGGUGGCGAAAGCGGCUCUCUGGCUUGUAACUGACGCUGAGGCUCGAAAGCGUGGGGAGCAAGCAGGAUUAGAUACCCUGGUAGUC